rnacentral:rRNA from 1 species
GACGAACGCUGGCGGCGUGCUUAACACAUGCAAGUCGAACGGAAAGGCCCUGCUUUUGUGGGGUGCUCGAGUGGCGAACGGGUGAGUAACACGUGAGUAACCUGCCCUUGACUUUGGGAUAACUUCAGGAAACUGGGGCUAAUACCGGAUAGGAGCUCCUGCUGCAUGGUGGGGGUUGGAAAGUUUCGGCGGUUGGGGAUGGACUCGCGGCUUAUCAGCUUGGUGGUGGGGUAGUGGCUUACCAAGGCUUUGACGGGUAGCCGGCCUGGGAGGGCGGCCGGCCACAUUGGGACUGAGAUACGGCCCAGACUCCUACGGGAGGCAGCAGUGGGGAAUAUUGCACAAUGGGCGGAAGCCUGAUGCAGCAACGCCGCGUGCGGGAUGACGGCCUUCGGGUUGUAAACCGCUUUCGCCUGUGACGAAGCGUGAGUGACGGUAAUGGGUAAAGAAGCACCGGCUAACUACGUG